CAGUCGCCACGGGAAUACGUAGGUGGCAAGCGUUGUCCGGAAUUAUUGGGCGUAAAGCGCGCGCAGGCGGAUAGGUCAGUCUGUCUUAAAAGUUCGGGGCUUAACCCCGUGAUGGGAUGGAAACUGCCAAUCUAGAGUAUCGGAGAGGAAAGUGGAAUUCCUAGUGUAGCGGUGAAAUGCGUAGAUAUUAGGAAGAACACCAGUGGCGAAGGCGACUUUCUGGACGAAAACUGACGCUGAGGCGCGAAAGCCAGGGGAGCGAACGGGAUUAGAUACCCCCGUAGUCCCUGUCUCUUAUACA
rnacentral:rRNA from 1 species